rnacentral:lncRNA from 1 species
UGUGUUCCAUGUGUCCUCCUUAAUCUUGUGUAUUUGUUAUGCAAAAAGCUCAUUUGAAUGUCAAUUUGAAAUAGAGAUAGAGGCUAGAAACAGAGAGCGAGCGACAGAGAAGAACAGAGGAAGAGAGAAAGAGAGAGAGAGAAGAGAAAGAGACAGGGAGGGAGUGAGAGAGAAAGAGGAAGAGAGAGAGAGUGUGAGAGAGAGACAAGAAGAAGAGAGGGAGAGAGAGGAAGAAGAGAGAAAGAGGGAGAGAGAGGAAGAGAGAAAGAAGAGAGAGGGAGAAGAAGAAGAGAGAAAGAGGGAGGAAGAACAGAGAGAGAGGAAGAGGAAGAGAAGAAGCAGAGAGAAAGAGGAAGAGAGAAAAAGAAGAGGGAGAGAAACACCUGUGAGAUGGAGUCAGAGAGAGAGAGAGAGAGAGAGAGAGAGAGAGGGAGAGAGAGAGAGAGAGGGAGAGAGAGAGAGAGAGAGCCGAGGCGUAGACAAAUGGGUCAUGGAAACAGACGUAACGGGGGAGGAGGAAAACAGAACACUGGCAUCUGGGAAGAAGAGGAGAGAGAAUGAGAGAGGAGAGCGAGAGAGAGAGAGAGAGAGAGAGAGAAAGAGGGAGAUGAAGAAAAGAAAGACAGAGAGAUCAACAGUGCGUGAGAGACAUGAGAAGUCAAGCUGUCACAGCAUAUGACAUUCUGUGUGUGCGUGUUGCGUGACAGCGGUUGGGUGUGUGUGUAUAAAUGACAUAUGGAUCUGCUUAUUCUGUCAUCUGGUAUCGAUUUGGGGAGAAGGUGGUGGGCCUUGAUGUCCCAAUAAUUAUCCCCCAAUCCCCCAAAGAGAGUGAGAGCAGAGAAAGAGAGAGAGAGAGAGAGAGAGAGAGAGAGGAAUGGGGAGGGAGAGAGAGAGAGAAAGAUGGGAAGAGAGAGAGAGAGAUGGGAAGAGAGAGAGAGAGAGAUGGGAAAAGAGAGAGAGAGAAGAGAUGGGGAGGGAGAGAGAAAGAGAAGAUUAAUGUUUUGCA